UCAGAUGAACGCUGGCGGCAGGCCUAACACAUGCAGUCGAGCGGAGGAAGGGAGCUUGCUCCUGGAUUCAGCGGCGGACGGGUGAGUAAUGCCUAGGAAUCUGCCUCGUAGUGGGGGAUAACGUAGGGAAACGGACGCUAAUACCGCAUACGUCCUACGGGAGAAAGUAGGGGAUCUUCGGACCUCGCGCAUCUGAUGAGCCGAUGUCGGAUUAGCUAGUUGGUGGGGUAAAGGCCUACCAAGGCGACGAUCCGUAGCUGGUCUGAGAGGAUGAUCAGUCACACUGGAAAUGAGACACGGUCCAGACUCCUACGGGAGGCAGCAGUGGGGAAUAUUGGACAAUGGGCGCAAGCCUGAUCCAGCCCUACCGCGUGGGUGAAGAAGGCCUUUGGGUUGUAAAGCACUUUAAUUUGGGAGGAAGGGCAGUAAGUUAAUACCUUGCUGUUUUGACGUUACCAACAGAAUAAGCACCGGCUAACUUCGUGCCAGCAGCCGCGGUAAUACGAAGGGUGCCAGCGUUACUCGGAAUUACUGGGCGUAAAGCGUGCGUAGGUGGUUCAGCAAGUUCGAUGUGAAAUCCCCGGGCUCAACCUGGGAACUGCAUCCAAAACUACUGAGCUAGAGUACGGUAGAGGGUGGUGGAAUUUCCUGUGUAGCGGUGAAAUGCGUAGAUAUAGGAAGGAACACCAGUGGCGAAGGCGACCACCUGGACUCAUACUGACACUGAGGUACGAAAGCGUGGGGAGCAAACAGGAUUAGAUACCCUGGUAGUCCACGCCCUAAACGAUGUCGACUAGGCGUUGGGAUGCUUGAGAUCUUAGUGGCGCAGCUAACGCGAUAAGUCGACCGCCUGGGGAGUACGGCCGCAAGGUUAAAACUCAAAUGAAUUGACGGGGGCCCGCACAAGCG
rnacentral:rRNA from 1 species